rnacentral:rRNA from 1 species
UAUGUGAUCGUCUCUCGCAUAUCAAUAAGCGGAGGAAAAGAAACUAACAAGGAUUCCCCUAGUAACGGCGAGUGAAGCGGGAAGAGCUCAAAUUUGAAAUCUUAAAGGGUUUCCCUUUACGAAUUGUAGUUUAAAGAAGUGUUUUCCGUUGAGGUUUUGGUAAAAGUUCUUUGGAAUAGGACAUCAUAGAGGGUGAGAAUCCCGUAUUUGACCUUUACUUUCAACUUUGUGAUACACUUUCAAUGAGUCGGAUUGUUUGGGAAUGCAGUCCAAAAUGGGUGGUAAAUUUCAUCUAAAGCUAAAUAUUGGCGAGAGACCGAUAGCGAACAAGUACCGUGAGGGAAAGAUGAAAAGAACUUUGAAAAGAGAGUUAAACAGUACGUGAAAUUGUCAAAAGGGAAGCGUUUGACACCAGUGUUGUUUUUCUGAAAAUCAAUUAAAGAACUGUUUAUGCUAAGUUGUUUAGACUUUAUCAGCUAACUGUUUAGUUUUGAGCUUUUCUUUAAUGCACUUUUCAGUUAACAAGUCAGCAUCAAUUUCUUUUGCUGUAAAAAAGCUUGAGGAAGGUGGCUUGAGAUUCGUCUUAAGUGUUUAUAGCCUCUCGCCUAUGCAGUCGGAGAGAUUGAGGUCUGCAGCGUAGAUCCUUCGGGGCUAAAUGCAUUUGUGCUAAGUUAUAGCAUUUUAUAGACAACUUGUUGACUAUGAUUUGUCUUGUAGCUUACUCGCUUAUGUUAUUUUACCUACGCUUAGGAUGUUGAGUAGCGACAUACGCAC